GAAGAAAAGGUUGCCAGCUACCCAGAGAGCCUGUGAUCCCUUCAUAGUCCUGGAGGUCCUACUGGCCAGAGCAUCCAGAAUUAUCCCUGUAGAUAUUUCAGCUGGACCACUAAACCCCCACCAGCUUGACUCCCUUCCAAAGACAAUGGAGUCUGGCUGCUGACCAGGAGCUGCGAAACUGCCCCUCUUACCCAUCUCCAGCCACGUGGUUUCUGGACAUCUUCCCUGGGGAGAGGACAGUCAAUAGCUGUGAAGGAAACACAUCAGUGAAGGUAGCUGUGCGUAGCUGAGCGCUCACUGGAGAGACAGGCCGUCAGAUGAGAGAUUGGCGUCAAGUAGUAAACGGCAACCAAAGGAGUCACAUAAGGUGAAUGCGUUGGCUGGAGCUCCAGAGCCAUUCUGGAUCAUGAGGCGAAGAGCUGAGGGUGGUGGACCAAAAGGAUGGAAACAUCUGGGUCUCUGAUGUCCAAGGCACCACCAUUCCAGUCAAGCUCUGGAGUGACUGCCUCUCGAUUUUUAUUGCAGGAGACAAAAAUAAACAUUUAUGUGUU